ensembl:lncRNA
ACUAAAUCAGGACUAAACCAGGACUAAACCAGGUCUAAACCAGGACUAAACCAGGACUAAACCAGGACUAAACCAGGACUAAACCAGGUCUAAACCAGGACUGAACCAGGUCUAAACCAGGACUAAACCAGGUCUAAACCAGGACUAAACCAGGACUAAACCAGGGCUAAACCAGGUCUAAACCAGGACUAAACCAGGACUAAACCAGGUCUAAACCAGGACUAAACCAGGACUAAACCAGGUCUAAACCAGGUCUAAACCAGGACUAAACCAGGACUAAACAAGGACCAAACCAGGACCAAACCAGGACUAAACCAGGACCAAACCAGGACUAAACCAGGAUCAAACCAGGACCAAACAAGGACCAAACCAGGACUAAACAAG